UACGUAGGCAGCAAGCGUUGUUCGGAGUUACUGGGCGUAAAGAGUGUGUAGGCGGUUCUCUAAGUCUGGUGUGAAAUCUCCCGGCUCAACUGGGAGGGUGCAUUGGGAACUGGAGGGCUCGAGUAUGGGAGAGGAAAGCGGAAUUCCUGGUGUAGCGGUGAAAUGCGUAGAUAUCAGGAGGAACACCUGUGGUGUAGACGGCUUUCUGGACCAUCACUGACGCUGAGACACGAAAGCGUGGGGAGCGAACAGG
rnacentral:rRNA from 1 species